rnacentral:rRNA from 1 species
GACGAACGCUGGCGGCGUGCUUAACACAUGCAAGUCGAACGGAAAGGCCCUGCUUUUGUGGGGUGCUCGAGUGGCGAACGGGUGAGUAACACGUGAGUAACCUGCCCUUGACUUUGGGAUAACUUCAGGAAACUGGGGCUAAUACCGGAUAGGAGCUCCUGCUGCAUGGUGGGGGUUGGAAAUUUUCGGCGGUUGGGGAUGUACUCGCGGCUUAUCAUCUUGUUGGUGGGGUAGUGGAUUACCAAGGCUUUGACGGGUAGCCGGCCUGAGAGGGUGACCGGCCACAUUGGGACUGAGAUACGGCCCAGACUCCUACGGGAGGCAGCAGUGGGGAAUAUUGCACAAUGGGCGGAAGCCUGAUGCAGCAACGCCGCGUGCGGGAUGACGGCCUUCGGGUUGUAAACCGCUUUCGCCUGUGACGAAGCGUGAGUGACGGUAAUGGGUAAAGAAGCACCGGCUAACUACGUG